CCGAAGGGAAACCGAGUCUUAACUGGGCGUUAAGUUGCAGGGUAUAGACCCGAAACCCGGUGAUCUAGCCAUGGGCAGGUUGAAGGUUGGGUAACACUAACUGGAGGACCGAACCGACUAAUGUUGAAAAAUUAGCGGAUGACUUGUGGCUGGGGGUGAAAGGCCAAUCAAACCGGGAGAUAGCUGGUUCUCCCCGAAAGCUAUUUAGGUAGCGCCUCGUGAAUUCAUCUCCGGGGGUAGAGCACUGUUUCGGCAAGGGGGUCAUCCCGACUUACCAACCCGAUGCAAACUGCGAAUACCGGAGAAUGUUAUCACGGGAGACACACGGCGGGUGCUAACGUCCGUCGUGAAGAGGGAAACAACCCAGACCGCCAGCUAAGGUCCCAAAGUCAUGGUUAAGUGGGAAACGAUGUGGGAAGGCCCAGACAGCCAGGAUGUUGGCUUAGAAGCAGCCAUCAUUUAAAGAAAGCGUAAUAGCUCACUGGUCGAGUCGGCCUGCGCGGAAGAUGUAACGGGGCUAAACCAUGCACCGAAGCUGCGGCAGCGACACUGUGUGUUGUUGGGUAGGGGAGCGUUCUGUAAGCCUGUGAAGGUGUGCUGUGAGGCAUGCUGGAGGUAUCAGAAGUGCGAAUGCUGACAUAAGUAACGAUAAAGCGGGUGAAAAGCCCGCUCGCCGGAAGACCAAGGGUUCCUGUCCAACGUUAAUCGGGGCAGGGUGAGUCGACCCCUAAGGCGAGGCCGAAAGGCGUAGUCGAUGGGAAACAGGUUAAUAUUCCUGUACUUGGUGUUACUGCGAAGGGGGGACGGAGAAGGCUAUGUUGGCCGGGCGACGGUUGUCCCGGUUUAAGCGUGUAGGCUGGUUUUCCAGGCAAAUCCGGAAAAUCAAGGCUGAGGCGUGAUGACGAGGCACUACGGUGCUGAAGCAACAAAUGCCCUGCUUCCAGGAAAAGCCUCUAAGCAUCAGGUAACAUCAAAUCGUACCCCAAACCGACACAGGUGGU
rnacentral:rRNA from 1 species